rnacentral:rRNA from 1 species
AUCCUACGGGACGCAGCAGUAGGGAAUUCUCGUCAAUGGGCGCAAGCCUGAACGAGCAAUGCCGCGUGAACGAGGAAGGUCUUCGGAUCGUAAAGUUCUGUUGAAGGGGAAAAAGAGCGGAGAGAGGAAAUGGUCUCCGAUUGAUAUUACCCUUCGAGGAAGUCACGGCUAACUACGUGCCAGCAGCCGCGGUAAUACGGAGGAUGCGAGCGUUAUCCGGAUUUAUUGGGUUUAAAGGGUGCGUAGGCGGUCUGUUAAGUCAGCGGUAAAAUUGCGGGGCUCAACCCCGUCGAGCCGUUUAAACU